rnacentral:rRNA from 1 species
GACGAACGCUGGCGGCGUGCUUAACACAUGCAAGUCGAACGGAAAGGCCCCUUUGGGGGUACUCGAGUGGCUAACGGGUGAGUAACACGUGAGUAACCUGCCCUUGACUUCGGGAUAACUUCAGGAAACUGGGGCUAAUACCGGAUAGGAAUCCUUGCUGCAUGGUGGGGGUUGGAAAGCUUCGGCGGUUUUGGAUGGACUCGCGGCUUAUCAGCUUGUUGGUGGGGUAGUGGCUUACCAAGGCUUUGACGGGUAGCCGGCCUGAGAGGGCGACCGGCCACAUUGGGACUGAGAUACGGCCCAGACUCCUACGGGAGGCAGCAGUGGGGAAUAUUGCCAAAUGGGGGGAAGCCUGAUGCAGCAACGCCGCGUGCGGGAUGAAGGCCUUCGGGUUGUAAACCGCUUUCAGCAGGGGCGAAGCUUGUGGUGACGGUACCUGCAGAAGAAGCACCGGCUAACUACGUG